CAUGCAGUCGAACGAGAAAGCACUUCGGUGUGAGUACAGUGGCGGACGGGUGAGUAACGCGUAGGAAUCUACCUAGUAGUGGGGGACAACUCGAGGAAACUCGAGCUAAUACCGCAUACGACCUAAGGGUGAAAGUGGGGGAUCUUCGGACCUCACGCUAUUAGAGGAGCCUGCGUUAGAUUAGCUUGUUGGUGAGGUAAAGGCUCACCAAGGCUACGAUCUAUAGCUGGUCUGAGAGGACGAUCAGCCACACUGGAACUGAGACACGGUCCAGACUCCUACGGGAGGCAGCAGUAGGGAAUCUUGGGCAAUGGGCGAAAGCCUGACCCAGCGAUGCCGCGUGUGCGAAGAAGGCCUUAGGGUUGUAAAGCACUUUCAGUCGUGAAGAAAAGCUACGAUUUAAUAUGUCGUGGUCUUGACGUUAGCGACAGAAGAAGUACCGGCUAACUCCGUGCCAGCAGCCGCGGUAAUACGGAGGGUACGAACGUUAAUCGGAAUUACUGGGCGUAAAGCGCGCGUAGGCGGUUUGAUAAGUGGGAUGUGAAAGCCCCGGGCUCAACCUGGGAACUGCAUUCCAAACUGUCAAACUAGAGUGUGGUAGAGGGCGGUAGAAUUUCCUGUGUAGCGGUGAAAUGCGUAGAUAUAGGAAGGAAUACCGAUGGCGAAGGCAGCCGCCUGGACCAACACUGACGCUGAGGUGCGAAAGCGUGGGGAGCAAACAGGAUUAGAUACCCUGGUAGUCCACGCCGUAAACGAUGAGAACUAGCCGUUGGGGCCUUUAAGGCUUUGGUGGCGCAGCUAACGCGAUAAGUUCUCCGCCUGGGGAGUACGGCCGCAAGGUUAAAACUCAAAUGAAUUGACGGGGGCCCGCACAAGCG
rnacentral:rRNA from 1 species